UGGGGAAUAUUGGACAAUGGGCGAAAGCCUGAUCCAGCCAUGCCGCGUGUGUGAAGAAGGUCUUCGGAUUGUAAAGCACUUUAAGUUGGGAGGAAGGGCAGUAAAUUAAUACUUUGCUUUUUUGACGUUACCGACAGAAUAAGCACCGGCUAACUCUGUGCCAGCAGCCGCGGUAAUACAGAGGGUGCAAGCGUUAAUCGGAAUUACUGGGCGUAAAGCGCGCGUAGGUGGUUUGUUAAGUUGGAUGUGAAAGCCCCGGGCUCAACCUGGGAACUGCAUUCAAAACUGACAAGCUAGAGUAUGGUAGAGGGUGGUGGAAUUUCCUGUGUAGCGGUGAAAUGCGUAGAUAUAGGAAGGAACACCAGUUGCGAAGGCGACCACCUGGACUGAUACUGACACUGAGGUGCGAAAGCGUGGGGAGCAAACA
rnacentral:rRNA from 1 species